GAGAAGAGUGCCACAUGCCCAUGGCAGAGUUCUCAGCAAGAUUUUGUGGUGCAGGGAUCAUCUUUACAAAAUGCUGUGUCGUGCUUAGCAGAAUGGGGCUCACAUGGGGCUGUAGACACAAACCAAAUCUGGGACAUCAGAUGUGCUCUCUCCCAUCUCCUGAAAAAUAACAUAGGCACUGGAAAAUGACCCAACAUUAAACAGCAUCACAGUGCUGGAAGCCUUUUCCCACUCCCAAUUUUAUGACCUUAAUUAACACAGGCCAAUCCAUAAAUCAGAUCAACACCAGGAGAUAACAAUGAAUCAUGCAGAAGGCAGCUUUAAUAGGAGCCUAAUCCCCCAAAGAAGUGGACAGUACCGGCAUUUUAAGUGCACGUGUGAGGUUGAAAGGGAACAGAUGUCCAACUGGGGCUGCUGCUGGCAAGGGGUUACAAAGAGUAAUACAUCUGGGGCAGCAUUCUUGACAGCUCACCAAGUUCAGCCAAGCUAAUUAAUUCACUCUGAGGUAAUAUUCUCUUACUGCAUGAGGCUACAGGCAGCAAACUGGGAAAUAAAUUUUGGCUGCAUUUGGUAGGUAAGUGACACAUUUUAAACACACAGGUUUAGUUUCCUGUUCGUAGAUCUGUUUAACCCCAGCGAAUACAGAUGAAAAUCUACUUUGGUGCAAAUUGAUCUGAAUAGGCCUCCUAAUUUGCAAAUUUAUACAUCGUCUUUGUUUUUUGCUCUGUGAGUUGUGUGAGCUGUUGGCUUCUGGGAGCCCAUACACAGAUGUAGGGGUGCAAGCAAACAACCUUCUGUAAAGGUGAAUUGUGAUUCCAUGGCAGGAAUUGUGCCCAAGUUUAAACAAAGUUGGAGGAACUGUGCUUGGAAUGACACAAGGGGCUGAAAAAAGCUAUGGAAUGUAGUUGCUACAAUGUUGUAGACUCUCACUUUGAUUUUGGCCCUCAGGAGACAAAACCUGCCUAGAAUUACUAGUUCCAUCUAUUGUGGAAAUGAGAUCUGCUCUCAUAAGUCCCUUCAUCCCAGUCAUGUUUUUGACCUCAUUAGAGACAAGUGUGGUCUUCAGGACAAAGGAAAAUUACUUUAUAAGCACAAGGGAUUGGAAUAUAGCCCUGUAGCCCUGAAUUACCUUUGCUGCAGCUGUAGGAGUCCAAGGAGGUAAAAUGUAUUGUAUGUCUCUGUUAACAUUCUUUAGGAGCAGUUUCAUUUCAUAGUGACAUCCUGUAGACAGGAGAAAAGGACAUUUAUUAGCACUAAAACCUGGUUGUUAUAUGGCUGAAAAUGUUUUGGCUCCACUGGAAUUUAAACUUG